rnacentral:rRNA from 1 species
AGAGUUUGAUCCUGGCUCAGAACGAACGCUGGCGGCGUGCCUAACACAUGCAAGUCGUACGAGAAAGCUCCCUUCGGGGAGUGAGUAGAGUGGCGCACGGGUGAGUAACGCGUGGGUAAUCUGCCCUCGAGCUUGGAAUAACCCUUCGAAAGGAGGGCUAAUACCGGAUAACAAUUCGAUCUCUUCGGAGGUUGAAUUCAAAGGUGGCCUCUGAUUUAAGCUACCACUUGAGGAGGAGCCCGCGUCCCAUUAGCUUGUUGGUGGGGUAAUGGCCUACCAAGGCUACUAUGGGUAGCCGGCCUGAGAGGGUGACCGGCCACACUGGAACUGAGACACGGUCCAGACCCCUACGGGAGGCAGCAGUGGGGAAUUUUGCGCAAUGGGCGAAAGCCUGACGCAGUGACGCCGCGUGGAUGAUGAAGGCCUUCGGGUCGUAAAAUCCUGUCAAGUGGGAAGAAAUGUGUGGUACCCAAUACGUACCAUGCUUGACGGUACCACUGGAGAAGCCCCGCUAACU